CUCCACCCUUCACUCGCCUCAUUGUGCCCAGGCAGCACCAAGGUCAGAAAUUAAUUGGAGACACUGCAAAACACACAGCCUGUAAUAUUUCAGUUCAGUGAGGUCACAAGAAAAACUCAGUUAAAGCCUUAUUAGAGCAGUUUACAGGAGCACAUUACUGCGAAUAUGAAAUGAGAGUCUUGUCUUGAUGGAUGCGUCACCUACCCAAGAUAUUUGUUGAGAAUAAUUUGAAAAUGGCCCAAGAAUCCUCUACCUACGGCUGGCAGAUGAAGAAAAGAAAUCGGAGGAGGCACACUGUCUACAGGUGGAAAGUGGCAAAUUCAGGAUUCCAACCUUCAUUUUCUCACUUCAACGCCACCACUCCUAACCACCAUCCUGUACAAUGCCCCUAUCGCCAUGGCCUGGGGCCAAGAAGCUGAAUGGAAAAGGACAUUUCUAUUUACUUCAGAGGAAGUUCGUUAUGAAAUAAGGAUCAUCCUUGAAUACUCCUUUCUCCAUGGUCACAAGAUUGUUACAAAGAGGUGACAUAAAGUACCUCUCCUGAUUAUGAUUCUGGACUGCCUGUGUUCAAACCUCAGCUCUGUGACUCCUGAUGAAUAGUUCAAUUCUUCUGUUUCCCUACAUGUAAAAUGGGUACAGCAAUAGUGCCUGCCUCAUUGGUCACUGUGAUGAUUAUAAAUGUAAUGCCCUCAAAAUCGCAUAUGGCACUAACCAUGCCAUCAAGUACGUGCAUGCCCUCAACUAGCUCACAGCUUUGACAUUUCAAGACAAAAAUAAGGCUUUCCCACAAUUUUCAUUUAGUGUUUAAUUUCCAUUUCAUGUUACAUCAAUUACAUUUUUCUAAGACAGAAAAUAUGCCAAGUGCUAUAAAAUAUAUAUUAUGCUCAAUAUGAGCUCUGAAAGGACAUUACUUUAAAGCAAAAGUGCUUACAAAGAAAUAAAUGUUUAGAAAGCAUAUUCUGAAAAGAGCCAGCUAUUACAAUGAUAUAAAGAUAUGUGCAAUGCACUCUAAUUUUCCAUUUUUAGAAAUUGCAAAGCAUGUUAUGUCUUGACACGAGCCUGGUAAAGAUCUCGUUCCGUUCCCCUCACUUUUUUCAAAUAAUUAUGGGUUCCAACUUCUUUUCUAUUACUGUAAUUUAAAAUAUCAAGGCAUGAAACAUAAGUAAUAAGAUGGAGUUUCUUUGUAUUCUCUGGACUUUUGCUUUAAAGAUGGAGAAUAAAGCAAAAGAGUUAUAAGGAUAGAAAUUCACUUGCGACCACCUGGCUGUGAAAAGCCUGAAUGUGCUGGAGUGAUUGGGUGGUCCUGGGGGCCACCCACUCAGUUCAGGCUGAAGAGGGUAAGAAAGGAAAGAAAAGAAGGAAAGAGACCCUUUUGUCCUUCUGUGUCCCCUGCUGCCUGCAUGUUCUCUCUGUAGCACUUCUCAAUGGAAUAUUAUCUAGGUCUUCUUUUCCUUUCUGCUUUAGCUCUGUCUCUUAGCCCAUUUAAAGUUCCUCUCUCUCACCUUUUAGGGCCUUAAGGUCUUAUACUUUGACAGACAAAAUUUUAAAAAUAUAAUUAUUAUAAGUCAUUCCUGGAAAUACAAUGCCUUACCCAAAAGAAUUACUUUCUAGUGGUAGAAAUCUGGCACGUGGCAGAUAGUGGGAAAGCUAUCUUAGGGAAGGGGCCCCCUGAGCUCACUGUGAUGGCUUCCCUGGUCUGCUGUGGUGACGGACUGGGCUAGUUACAACAUCUGAGAGAAGUAGCAACAGGAGAGAAAAGAAAAUAGGAGAAGAAGAGAACUUUAUUUUUCGCUUACUACACAUAAAAUGUUUCUUUCUUCUCCAACGGGAGGCGUGAGAAGAGGAUGUGCUUCACACCUGCAGUGAUUCGGGAUGGGCUGGAGCGGGGAGGGGGUCUGACUGUUACCUAACACGUCUCUAGGUGUAUUUUGUUGUGAAAAGCUUUGCCUAUAUUGCUUUAAAAAAAGAAAGAGAAACUCACACUUUUCUCUCUUUGUAGUUGUCGUAUCUGGAUA
ensembl:lncRNA